rnacentral:rRNA from 1 species
GUCGAGAAUCUUUCACAAUGGGGGCAACCCUGAUGGAGCGACGCCGCGUGGAGGAUAAGGUCUUCGGAUUGUAAACUCCUGUCAUGCGUGAACAAGGUUGCUUGGUUAAUACCUGGGCAAAUUGAUGGUAACGCAAGAGGAAGAGACGGCUAACUCUGUGCCAGCAGCCGCGGUAAUACAGAGGUCUCAAGCGUUGUUCGGAAUCACUGGGCGUAAAGGGUGCGUAGGUGGCGUGGUAAGUCAGAUGUGAAAGCCCGGGGCUCAACCGCGGAACUGCAUCCGAUACUGCCAUGCUAGAGUACUGGAGAGGUGACUAGAAUUCUCGGUGUAGCAGUGAAAUGCGUAGAUAUCGAGAGGAAUACCAAAGGCGUAGGCAGGUCACUGGACAGUUACUGACACUGAGGCACGAAGGCCAGGGGAGCGAACGGGAUUAGAUACCCGAGUAGUCC